ensembl:lncRNA
UGUGUGUGUGUGUGUAAAAUACAUUUCUUUUAAAUGUAUAGCACAGUAAUGAAGGCAGCAACAUGUGAUAGAUGGGACAGAACAAGAAAGACAUAAUAAUCUUUCAUUGUGCUAAAGUAUUAUAAUACGAAAGGAUUUGAGGGAAAGGUGAAAAAUAAGGAGGUCUGGGAACGACUGAAGAAGACAGCAGUGAGGGAAGGAAGUAAUCACCAGAAUCUGCCAGAGAAGGAUAUUGACAAUGCAGGCUCAGGAUGAAGAAGAGGAGGAAGAACAUGUUUAACAAUUUUCUCAUAAACUUGCCAUGUGUUAUAAUAAAAACAAUGAACAUGACUACAGUAAUAUGCUAAAUGGUAUUAAAAGAUUCCAGUUUGCAAGAAAUCUGAGUCUCUGACUCUACACUAGAGGAACUCUUUCCUGAAGAAGAUCAGGUGCUGAGAAGGAGCCUUGUUCUACAGCAAAACACUGCAUCAAGCUUCCUGUCCUUCCCUCAGAAGAGCCUGUCUUCUGCUGCUGGGGUAAGAAAGACACUCUUCCUCUUCUCUAUCGGCUGUCCAGCACCUAACUCUGCCUCCUCAGCACUGACUGAAAGAGUCUUCUCCACAGUUCGUUAUCAGAGUAUUCACAGAUUCUCCUGAGAAAGUCAAUAUGCUCAUUUUCUUAAACUGUUUGUGUUUUUUUUGGGGUGGGACAAAUAAUACAGGAGAGAUGCUAGAAAUCUCUAUAUUUUUUCAUUUUUCAUAUCUUUACCCUUUAUGAAUGUUUUUUUUUUUUUAAUCUUCUGAGAAGCUCAAGAAUUAUGGUUCUUUGGUAACUGCAAUAUUGUUUAGGUUUAUUUUCUGAUAGUGAGACAUGCAAGAAAAAAAUAAAUAAAUCGUGUCCACGAUUUACUAAUUCGUUCCCUCAAUGUACUAAAACGUGCACGAUUACUUUUACAUUUCAUCGAUUUGCUAAAUCGUCCGCUCAAUUUACUAAUUUGUUCUCUCGAUUUAUAAAAUAGUGUACACGAUUAAGCAAGUCGAGGGAAUGAAAUAGUAAAUCGUGGCACGAUUUAGCCUACUUUUUUUUUUCUGCAUGCCGUGUAAUUAAAGCACAUCACCACCAGACAUUUAUACCAGAUGCCUCAUAUAUGACGCUCAGGAAACAAUUUAACUUUUUUUCUGGAAAAAAAGUGCCGUAUCUGCUGAAUUGUUUCAUAUCUAUUUAUCAUGUCUUUAUUUUUUGCACCAAAUUAUGUAGAGUUGUAUCAAUGAGUGUACUGAUAAUUAUUUAUAAUUUUCACUGAUAACGUCAUUAUUAACUAUCCCCAUCCUUAAGACAGACAUUUUCUAUUGUUUAUAUUGUGUAAUCUAUGAAUUGAUGUGUUCAGUUUUCUGUGCUCAUAACUUGCAUGGUUGAAGAACAGGUGCAAUGUUCAAAAUGUUUUGGCUUAGUAUUUUUAGAAAGUAGUGCU